GCUAAGGCGCGAAAGCGUGGGGAGCAAACAGGAUUAGAUACCCUGGUAGUCCACGCCCUAAACGAUGUACACUAGUUGUUGGGAUGCUAGUCAUCUCAGUAAUGCAGCUAACGCAUUAAGUGUACCGCCUGGGGAGUACGGUCGCAAGAUUAAAACUCAAAGGAAUAGACGGGGACCCGCACAAGCGGUGGAGCAUGUGGUUUAAUUCGAAGAUACGCGAAGAACCUUACCUGGGCUUGAUAUCCUAAGAACCUUAUAGAGAUAUGAGGGUGCUAGCUUGCUAGAACUUAGAGACAGGUGCUGCACGGCUGUCGUCAGCUCGUGUCGUGAGAUGUUGGGUUAAGUCCCGCAACGAGCGCAACCCACGUAUUUAGUUGCUAACGGUUCGGCCGAGCACUCUAAAUAGACUGCCUUCGUAAGGAGGAGGAAGGUGUGGACGACGUCAAGUCAUCAUGGCCCUUAUGCCCAGGGCGACACACGUGCUACAAUGGCAUAUACAAUGAGACGCAAUACCGCGAGGUGGAGCAAAUCUAUAAAAUAUGUCCCAGUUCGGAUUGUUCUCUGCAACUCGAGAGCAUGAAGCCGGAAUCGCUAGUAAUCGUAGAUCAGCCAUGCUACGGUGAAUACGUUCCCGGGUCUUGUACUCACCGCCCGUCACACCAUGGGAGUUGAUUUCACUCGAAGCCGGAAUACUAAACUAGUUACCGUCCACAGUGGAAUCAGCGACUGGGGUGAAGUCGUAACAAGGUAACCGUAGGAGAACCUGCGGUUGGAUCACCUCCUUUCUA
rnacentral:rRNA from 1 species